rnacentral:rRNA from 1 species
UACGUAGGGUGCAAGCGUUGUCCGGAAUUAUUGGGCGUAAAGAGCUCGUAGGCGGUCUGUCGCGUCGGCUGUGAAAUCCCGAGGCUCAACCUCGGGUCUGCAGUCGAUACGGGCAGACUGGAGUGUGGUAGGGGAGAUCGGAAUUUCUGGUGUAGCGGUGAAAUGCGCAGAUAUCAGGAGGAACACCGGUGGCGAAGGCGGAUCUCUGGGCCAUUACUGACGCUGAGGAGCGAAAGCGUGGGGAGCGAACAGG